GGGGGCGACACGGUUUCGACGCCGGUGACAAUCCCUGAGGUGCAUGCCGAGAGCGUGAUGUAUCUCGUAAAUACAACAUCAUGAUUAAAUAGUCGCAAACGACGACAACUACGCUCAGGGCGCGCUGGCAGCCUAACAGCUGUUAGCUUCUAGCCUGGCCCCAAAGUGAUGUGCCCAUUCAUCACGGCGGGGAUACGAGCGACGAUUGAUGGGAUCGCGACUGACGGCGUCUUCACGUCAGUUGUUAAAACUCUGAAGAAUCGCGUGGCUGGAUCCUGCUCGUCGGAGCCAGUGGCGUUAAAUCAAAUGACGAAACUAAGCAUGUAGAGCCAACGGGUGAGUGCCGGCGGACGCGGGUUCAAUUCCCGCCGCCUCCACCA
rfam:Halomonas aestuarii strain Hb3, complete genome.